AACGAACGCUGGCGGCAGGCCUAACACAUGCAAGUCGAGCGCCCGGAUUUAUCCGGGAGCGGCGCACGGGUGAGUAACGCGUGGGAACAUGCCCUGAAGUACGGAACAACCUGGGGAAACCUUGGCUAAUACCGUAUACGCCCUGAGGGGGAAAGAUUUAUCGCUUUGGGAUUGGCCCGCGUUGGAUUAGAUGGUUGGUGUGGUAACGGCGCACCAAGGCGACGAUCCAUAACUGGUCUGAGAGGAUGACCAGUCACACUGGGACUGAGACACGGCCCAGACUCCUACGGGAGGCAGCAGUGGGGAAUGUUGAAGAAUGGGCGAAAGCCUGAUCCAGCCAUGCCGCGUGAGUGAAGAAGGCCUUCGGGUUGUAAAGCUCUUUCAGCGGGGACGAUGAUGACGGUACCCGCAGAAGAAGCCCCGGCUAACUUCGUGCCAGCAGCCGCCGUAA
rnacentral:rRNA from 1 species